rnacentral:rRNA from 1 species
CCUACGGGUGGCUGCAGUGAGGAAUAUUGGUCAAUGGGCGAGAGCCUGAACCAGCCAAGUCGCGUGAAGGAUGACGGCCCUACGGGUUGUAAACUUCUUUUGUCAGGGAGCAAUUGGGUCCACGCGUGGGCUUAGCGUGAGUACCUGAAGAAAAAGCAUCGGCUAACUCCGUGCCAGCAGCCGCGUGAAUACGGGGGAUGCGAGCGUUAUCCGGAUUUAGUGGGUUUAAAAGGUGCUUAGGGGGAAUAUCAAGUCAGCGGUAAAAAUUCGGGGCUCAACCCCGUCGUGCCGUUGAAACUGAUGUUAUUGAGUGGACGAGAAGUAUGCGGAAUGCGUGGUGUAGCGGUGAAAUGCAUAGAUAUCACGCAGAACUCCGAUUGCGAAGGCAGCAUAACGGCGCCCAACUGACGCGGAAGCACGAAAGCGUGGGUAUCGAACAGGAUUAGAUACCCGGGUAGUC